UACGUAGGGGGCAAGCGUUGUCCGGAUUUAUUGGGCGUAAAGAGCGUGUAGGCGGCUAUACAGGUCCGCUGUGAAAACUCGAGGCUCAACCUCGAGACGUCGGUGGAAACCGUAUGGCUAGAGUCCGGAAGAGGAGAGUGGAAUUCCUGGUGUAGCGGUGAAAUGCGCAGAUAUCAGGAAGAACACCCGUGGCGAAGGCGGCACUCUGGGCCGGUACUGACGCUGAGGAGCGAAAGCGUGGGGAGCGAACAGG
rnacentral:rRNA from 1 species